GCCGGCAUAGCUCAAUUGGUAGAGCAACUGACUUGUAAUCAGUAGGUUAGGGGUUCAAGUCCUCCUGCCGGCUCCA
rnacentral:tRNA from 2 species